rnacentral:rRNA from 1 species
ACGCUGUAGCAAUACAGAGUGGCAGACGGGUGAGUAACGCGUGGGAACGUACCCUUCGGUCUGGAAUAACCCAGGGAAACUUGGGCUAAUACCGGAUACGUGCGAGAGCAGAAAGAUUUAUCGCCGAAGGAUCGGCCCGCGUCCGAUUAGCUAGUUGGUGAGGUAAAAGCUCACCAAGGCGACGAUCGGUAGCUGGUCUGAGAGGAUGAUCAGCCACACUGGGACUGAGACACGGCCCAGACUCCUACGGGAGGCAGCAGUGGGGAAUAUUGGACAAUGGGCGCAAGCCUGAUCCAGCCAUGCCGCNUGAGUGAUGAAGGCCCUAGGGUUGUAAAGCUCUUUCGCCAGGGACGAUAAUGACGGUACCUGGAUAAGAAGCC